UUAAUACUCCCUCCGUCCGGAAAUACUUGUCAUCAAAAUGAAUAAAAGAAGAUGUAUCUAGACGUAUAUUAGUUUUAGAUACAUCCCUUUUUAUCCAUUUUGAUGACAAGUAUUUUCGGACGGAGGGAGUAUGAC
rnacentral:pre_miRNA from 1 species